CAGCAAUCUGUCUGCCUCAGCCUCCCAAAGUGUUGGGAUUACAGCAUUUGACAAAUAUUGUGCCAUUUCCUUCUGGCCUCCAUGGUUUCUCAUGAUAAAUCUGCUGUCAAUGAAAUUGUUUCUUCCACCACUUUCCACUCACCACCCAAAAUAGGAUCACUGGAAGAUGAAAAAGCAUUUUAUUUUUCCUUCCACUCUGCUUUUUCCAGAAGCCGGAAGUAAAGACAGCUGUGAUCAACUGGGUCAUGAUGGAAUGGCUUUCUGCCAUGAAUAUUCAGGGAGACUCGCCUGUGCCAUGGAGGUUGAUGAUGGAUGGGGGAGCAGGAAGAGCCUGGGAUCUUUAGGACCUCGAAGGGAAUGGAUCGAUAGUCGGAACAAACAUGGACUUUCUCUUUGCCCCCUGCUUCGAUCACUUCCUAUCUGACAGCAGCAGUGGAAGUGCUAUAACCAGCCGACAGUGGGCAUGAGAGGGGACUAAGGAUGAAACUGGGCUUCCUGAGAGGGAGAAGUGGAGCACGCACCCAGGGACACUUCCCGCCCAGCCUGAUGACAUGUGACCAGGGGCCGCCAAGGAAAGCGUGCCCUGAACACCGAGAUGAGAGAAUGAUGGGGUCCCACCAUCCAUGGGAAAUGAGUGGGGGUCUGCGCAGAGGCUGGAGGUGCAGCCUAAGAAGACCAACUCAAACUCAGCUGUUAAAGAUUCCCCAAAGCAUCUGAGACAUCAUCCGGGGUGCAGCCCAACAGAAGACGUUUAAGAUGGGGCCAGAAAGAAGACUGUAUAGCUCUUCUGUAAAUAAACGAAUGGUCUGCCCCAAGCCUUCGGGAAGGAGAAUGGACUAUAGUGACUGGGGAAAGUUCUCUUUGCAGGCUAAGAGAUCUGGCCAGCAUGUUGAUAACUGAGAAGGCUGGGGAGCUGGAGGACAAUGGAGUGGUUCCUGCACGAGUCACCAGGGAGGCUUAUGCAAGCUACACAGCAGUAAGGGGUUGCUGGAGAAAGCAGGAUCCUGACUCCCUGCUACCCAUUCACGCGCAUCCACAUGACAGGGGUUUGGUCAUGAUCCACCGAGCACUGGGUAUGACUGAGAUGUCCAGAGCAGAUGAAGAAUGGCCUAGGAACCACUGCAGUAUCAGCUGCAUAGAGUUAUUGUGACCUUUUACAAGAGCUAUUUUUUUUUUUUAAAGAGAUCAGUGAGUACAACAGGCUCAGAAGGGCAACACGCUGUUAAGCAUGAUGCUGUGUAUAGCACAUGCCACUACUACUUGUGACCAGGUGUGGGAGGACGUCACUGCCGAGAGCCAGGCUGUCCAGCCUUAGAGAAAUACGCUGCCGCUAUAAUGCAGAGUGAGCAGGAGAGAGAAGAAAGGGAAACCGAACACCACGGAACAUCUGUCCAAGUCUGCACAGUGUGUUGUAAUAAUCUCAAAAAUACAAGCCAUCUUUUCCAUAUAACUCAAUAAAUAUCACUUUGCUGUAAAAGAUUUAUUUUGGAGAGACUUCUUUUGGUGAAAAGCUUCAAUGCUAGAAUUUAGAGUUCAUAUUUCAUCAAUUAAUAAAGAAAUUUCAAAGCUUCAGGAUACAUAAUUCAGAAAUUUAUUUUAAGCUUUUCAGUUAAGCGGAACGUGGGGUGGGCACAUUUGUUUCUUGUUUUUGUUGCACCUGCUAAGUCAAAUAACAAGUGAAAGUAAAUCUAAAGUUAGAAACCAAGGUGAAAUGAAUGAUCCAGGAAGGGAUACCAU